rnacentral:lncRNA from 1 species
CUCGCUCAGUAGUGAGGGAGCUUGAAGGCUGGUUUGUGGUGCUGCCAGCAUGUGAGACAACAUCGCUGUGGUGGGUUCCUGCGUGUGUUGCUUUGUGUGGUAAUAACCGGGCUGGUCAUUGUGCACAGGGAAUCGCUGCCUCGUGAUACUAGUUUUCAUCUCAAAAAAAUGGCGAGAAAAACGCGCUGUCAGAAUUAGUCUCCGUAAGAAAAAGAGAAAAAGAGGAGGAGGCACUGGUGCCAGGAUUGCACCGAUAAAAUACAGGAUGUGAGAAGUGCCCUUGAUAGCAGGCCGACCACCGUCCAUCCCAUCCGACCAAAUGAUGAAGUUGUGUUUGCAAGGUUGAGCAUUAGGCACACCAGACUGACGGAUGACUGCUUCGAUGCCCCUUUCUGUGAUACCAAGAACCAGUGAUAAUCAACCAUGUAGUGGAGGUUCGUCAUGAUUGUGGCAAGAGGAACUGAUACGAGGCUGUCCAUGCUCAAGGGAGCCUAAGGAUGCAGGUUAUCAGUUUAAUCAAGACUGAGGAUCGAAUAUUAAUAUUUUCGGCAGUCAGGAUGUCAUCCUACCACUUCUACAGUUCCUUAUGUGUUUCGUCUCCCAUCAACUGAUCUAGUAAUAGUAGUAGUAGUAGCGCAUGGUUCGUCAUACCCCGAUAUUUGCCUCUGCUAACCAAUUGCUGAAGGCUUCUCCAGCAGCUGGUCUGGGAUGUUGGGAUGGAGAGCCGAGAGAGAGAGAGUCGACUUGUCUUGUCUUCUCGGCGACGCGACGUGAGGUGACAACAACAAAGGACAAAAACACGACAGAU